GCCUAUUUCUAUCUCUCCCCCUCGUGUGUGUGUGUGUGCGCGCGCGCGCACUACUCCACCCAGUGGUACGGGGGAAGCCUUAUAUAGGGAUUUUUGGAAUACUUAACACGAGGAUGUGGACGGAGCAGCAGUGCUAGGCAGGCGCAGACACAACCGGGGCUGGAAUGUGGAUCCAGAGCGCCAGAGUUUAUGAAAUCCCAGAAGUCCUUCCUUCCCAUGACUUUUUCCAUAGUACACAGUGAGAGAACAGCUACAGAGAGAGGAUUCGGAAGCUGACAGCUGAGUGUUUGAGAGCAGUGUGUCAUCUCACCUUGCCGCUGUGCUCCGACCCACUGCAGUCUACCCCUGGUCCCCUGCACAGAAGCCGAGGUCUCACCGCUCAGUCCCAACUGGAACUUCCAUUUGUGCUACUCCUUUGACCUUUGCGCCUCUGACAUUUGCUCAGUGCACAGUUGAGCCAGUCACACACAAAGUAUGCUUUUUUUUUAAUGUCGCAAUGACAGACGGGGGGAGAGAGAUAUAAUGCAAAAAACAUCACAAUCUAUGAACAGACUGACAUUUGGGACACGAUCUUUCUACUUGGCAUAACAUGGUCAAAUACAUUCCACUAGACAGGCUUCAAGAGAGUUAUCCUAGCAAUUCUGAGGUGUGCCAUGAUUUGAAACAGCAUGUGAAAAUUGUUAGUGUACAAACAAAUGUCCAUGGUGAUAAAGGUCAUCUUUUAGAA